UGGCAUAUAGCUCAAUUGGCAGAGCCCUCGGCUGUUAACCGAGAGGUUGAAGGUCCGAGUCCUUCUAUGCCAGCAA
rnacentral:tRNA from 1 species